rnacentral:lncRNA from 1 species
UUCCCUUUGGACAGUGGGCAGGGCUGUGAGGGCGGUUCCCUCGGGGCAGGGGUCGGGGCCUCUGAGGGCAUUCCCCCUGGGCAGGAGGGCGGGGCUCUAAGGACAGUUUCCCCCCUGGGCGGUGCCUGUGAGGGCGGUUCCCUCUGGGCAGGAGGCGGGGCUGUGAGGGCGGUUCCAGGGAAGGAUUCAUCCCACUCUUCCCCUAGGUGCUGCUCCCUUUACAGAUAACCUGAAGAGACACUUGCGGAUGGAAGAGACAGUGAGGACAGGGAGGACGGUGACCUUACUAGAGAGCAAGAAGUCAAGUAAACCUGUGUUCAAGGAUGACCAUAGUUCCUUUAGUUCACCCUCAACAGACAGGCCCUAGUCCUUCAUUGAUAGAAGUCAGGACAGGAAUUCAAGCAGGAAGCAGGAACCAUGGAAGAACACCUACUCAGAGGCUUAUGCUUUCUCAUACAGGCCUGGACUGUCUCUAGGGAAUGGUGCCACCCACAGUGGGCUCGGCCCACCUACAUCAAUUAACAGUUACAAAAACCUUCCAACAGACAUGCCCACAUGGCAAU